GGGCUUGCCGCUGCCCGCCAUUUCGCGGCCUGUCCCCGACCGCGGGUGCGGCUUGGCCUGCGCGUCAACGACAGGAUCGGGCGCCGGGCCGGUUGUGAGGCGAAGAGAUUUUGGUGGCAGCAACAGAAGGGACCGGAGCGACUGACAGGAUUGACCCUCACCCGCUCCUGGCGGAGCAGUAGCCCGGAUCCCCCGUGGGGCUCAGGCCUAUGGGCUGACAGGUUCCUUGAAAGGGUGUAUUUGUGCGUUUUCACUGUAGUUCCCUAAAAUGUCGUCCACAGCCGCUUGUGCGGCGUGUGGCAUUGCCCUUUGCUGUCAGCUCUGCACAGGCCAGGGUCCAGCUCUGUGCUGAAACUGAGACUACAUUAACUGGAUGUUUACAAGGUUGAUGUUUUUAGGAGUGCCUAAACAGUGAUGCUGUUUUGGCUACAUAGUCUUUCUACAAACUAAAACCCACUGAAGAGUUUUUCUGAAUAUUUGGAGUAGUAUUUUCCCCAAAAACCCCAAAUUCUGUCAGUUCUUGCACAUUAACUAGCAUAAACUGGAUUAUCAUUCCCAAAGCUGUUCUGGCCUUUUGCCUUUCAGCUACAAGGGAGGGCUGAGAAAAAGGAGUCAAAAAAACAGACUGAAAAGCCUGUCAUCUGUAUGAAGAGCAAAGAGAAGAAGUAGCAGGAGCAUUGUGCAAAGAUGGGAGCAUAGGUCUGGAUAGAGAAACAGGAAAGACAGCAAGAAAAUACAGCAUACAAUGUGAAAACUUACAGACCCAUGAUGAAAAUGGAAUUUCCCUCCAUUUUUGUUGCUAAGGAACAGUAAAGACCGCGUUUAAGAGAAGCAAAAGAAGUUGCCAAGCUCUGGGGAGAGGAGGGCAUCUGACUGCACUGCUCUUAUCUGAGGGUUUCUCUUGGAGGGGCAGAGAUACGGAGAUAAUUCAGCUGGACUUUGCUGUUGGGAUAUAUAGAAGGAAGGACCAACACCUCCUUGGAAGAUGGAUACUCCCAUUACUCUUAUCUUCCCAGGAAACAGUCUUGCCAGGUUGUCCCUGCAAUCCUUGGCCCAUUGGUGAGUCUUUGUCUGAAUGAAGUCACUCAAGGAAGGACUUCUCCUUUGCAGUUCCCCCAUCUUCCUCAACUUUUGCUUCAUUCUUGCUGCUUUUCUGACUUCUUCUAAUUUGAGUACCUCAGUAACGGGUGGCUGCUUCCUGCCCUGCAGAAGGUCACAGGUAUGCCCCAGACUAGGAUAAAACAUGGGCAGGUAAUCCAUCCAUGCAGACAAGGAGCAGGAGUUAGAGUUCCAAGCUUUUGUUAAUCGUGUUGUGUCGUGAGAUCAGUCAUGAAAAACUGCUUUGUAGCUGCCUAGUGGCAUAUGGUACAAGCAAAUAGCACAGCUGAGAGCCAGAUCACACACAGCUGCUCCUCUGGGAUGGUGUCACUGGAGAAUGAAGUGGAGCUCUUCUCGCCUCCACCAUGGCCACUCAAAGCCCUCUUGGGGUGGGUAAAAGAUGUGCCAUUGCUCAGCAGGACUCAGCCUGGGCAGGCAUGUCUAAACAGCUUCUCUUACAAGAAGAACCUGGGGCUGCUCAGGUAAAUGAACCCAGGUCACCUUGAGGAUGCAGGAAAGCUUGUGCCAGAAUGGUGAAGGAUCCUUCACAAAAGCACUCUGCCUCUGCAGAUUUGCCUCCUUCCUUUGCAGUACCUAUGUGGGUACACCUGCACAGGGCAUAGGACACCCUGGCAUCCACAAGAGUCAUUCGCUUAUCCUCUCCUGCUACAGUUGGGCAAAGGAGAGGGGAAAAAAAAUUAAUGAAGGGCUCAUGAGUUAAGGACUAGGAGAAAAACACUCUAAGUGCAAAAUAGGUUUAAAUUUAAAGGUAUAAAGUAAAUUUAUUAUUAACAGUCAGAGGGGGAUAAUGAGAAGUAAAAUAAGUGCUUAAAACACCAUUUUUCGUCCCCGGGGCCUCCCUCCUUCCUACUGACAAUACAGGGGGACAUGGUGUGGGGGUUUAUGUCAGUUCAUCACUCAAGGUCUUUUUCUGUUUGUUCAGGGAGAGGAAUCUUUGCUCUAUUAUGCCAUGGCAUCUCUCCCAUGGGCAAAGAGUCAUCCCAAAACUGUCGUGGUCCAAGUUACUCAUACACAGAGUGCAGUCUUUUAAGGAUAGGCUGCUCUAGUUUGGAAGCAAUGACCCUCUCUCUCUGUCUCUGGAAGAGGGGGCCAUCUCACUUUGGGUCUCUUACUAGAUCACAGCUUUCUCUGGCAUCCACCCACUCCAGUGUGAGCACUUUUCCUAUGGGCUGAAAGUGGAUCUCUUCAUCCCUGUGAUAUAUGUUGUUACAAUUCGUGUUUAUAUGAUAUAAGAAGGUUGUAUAAAAUAAAGAAAUAAAAUAAGAGAACUUUUCAGCCUCUGCCACCACCACCCAGAGCCAUAGACAAAGGCUUUAAUUAGCAUAUCAACAAACCUAGCUCAACGAUCCUGAAACCACUCCAGAGGGAACAGGAAAAGAUCAUCAAUAAAGAACAUGUCAAAUACUACAUAUCAGACAGCUGGGAGGUUCCUGGGAGUCCCCCCAUAGCAACGCCAGAUCCCGUAAAUCCAGUCACCUCCACCGGGAAAAAUUACAUUCCAAAGCUUCGGUUCCCGUAAGCGAGAAACAGCACUCCCAAGGAAAAUUACACAUCAAUACGGACCAGACACAGCCCUCAUCAGGAUUCAUCAACGCGCAGGAAGGACCUUUGUCCAGGGCAGCACCAAGAAAAGGAUUUAAUCUGAAUAUGAGAAUCCGCAGCAGAAACAAAGGGAACUCUCACCUCAGGCCAGAAAAUCUGUAUAGAAACUGGGCUCCCCAGGAUGGUGGGGUGAACACAGGGGGAUCUGAUGCGAUAGAGUUCAGAUCAGCAUGUGUGCUCAUCCGGCACUGAUCCUGGGCUCGGUGCUGUCCUGUUUCGUUUGUGGCGUCCCAAGACCGUAUUUUCGGUUGCAAAAAUAAAAAUUGCUCUUUUAGUAUUUAAUUUGGCUUAAUUUGGUUAUUAUCUAUAACAAUCCCCCAUGGACUUCAUGCAUUAUAAGGGCAUAGUUUGUUUCACCAUAGUUCUCACUGCAGCUUGCAGAGCAAUCUUGGCUACAACACUUGAAGCACCUCCUCCUCUUUCUUUACCACUGACCUUGGUACUGCCCUGUUGUUUUCCCUCAUGAGUCCUCACUUCCUCCUCUUCUCUAACUAGAAGAAAAACUGCUGCUUGUAGUCAUUGUCAACAAAUUCCACUAAUUCAAAGAUUCCUGAAGGAUCUUGCAGUGCCAAGAAGUUGAUCUUGUCUAGGUUCCACAUCAGGGAAUCUCUCGUCAUGCUUUCGCUGCCAGCCAUGCAGCCCUGCUGCCAUAACACUAUUGAAUGCCUCUCCUCAUGUGGGGCACUGGGAAGGGGAAGCUGCUGCUGCCCCUGCCCUUUUUGCCCACAGCACAGCUGGCUAGGAGCGACCAGGGAGGCAAGGCUCGCUGCAGGCUGCACCAAGAUGGCUGUGGCUACAGCAGUGCAUCACUAAACACCACACUGGGAAUGGCCCCUGUGGCAGUGUUUCACUGUCCUCGCAAAAAACCUGUGUCUGUUCUAUUUUGAUUUUCUUCUUGAAUAUGUUGUCACAGAGGCAUUACCAACAUCCCUAACUGGGCCAGCAGCAUGUCCAUCUUCAGAGCCACUGUCAGACAUGGUGGAAGUUUCUAGCAACUUCUCAUGGAAGCUACCCCUGUGCCCUUUGCACCCCCCUACCAAAAAACAGGCUGUGCCAAACCAAUGUACUGAGUCAGGGAGAGGCAUGGGGGGCCAAGAACAACACACCAAGCUAGAAAUGAGAGCCAGCUUCAAACCUCUGUCUGAAAUCUGAGGUCCUCACAAGCUCCACUGAGAUGCCAGUUUGUGCUUCUGCCUCUCUCUGGAAGCUCUUUAUGGCUGGACAGCUCAGGAUCCCACUGGUACAGAGUGACAACUGGGAAGAGUCCAUCCAGCCUCCUGGUGCUGCCAAAGGGGCAAUGCCCCCUGGCUUCUCCACUUACACCAUCCAGCCUGCUCCCUUUUGACAGCAGUGACUUUCAGCUAGCCCACCAAGGGACUGAGGCAUGACCUCAUCCCCACAGAAACCAUUCCUAGCUACAUGGCAUCCAACCAUUGCAAAGCAUUGGCUACCUUAUAAAAGGCAGCAGGAAUACAAAUGGAACUUGCAUUUGUCCAAAGUGACUACUUCCAAGGGAAAUCUGUGAGUCUGUAAAUGGCCUUUCCCAUCUGAUAAGGGUGAAACCUUUCCAUCCCCAGCAAGACCAGCAAGGAGGGAAGGUCAGUUUCACAUGGUCCCACUGCACCAUGCAGUGGCCCAGGGAGCAACAGCAUAGAAUUCCCUGUACAGUGGCUGUAGGGGGGAACCCCUUUGGUGUGGAUCCCUCAGAGAAGGCAGGACAUUGGCUUCUCAAUGACAAAAAAAAAGUUGUUUAUCCAAGGAUGUACUUUUCAUUUGGAAGUGAUGAGCAACUUGGAAGACCAAAGUUAAGGCAUCUAUAAUAGCAGAAGUCGAUGUAAAAUUAAGGAAUUCCAUUGCAUGGCAGCAGAGGUGAGGCUGUUAACUCAGGCUGUAAUGUCAGUGUUGUAAGGGCCAGUGCAGCCCUAGAAGGCUUAAAUCCUUUCCUUCAGAAGACAAGAACAGCCUGCCCAAACUGGCAGCUGCAGAUGUGUCCUCUGCUCAGGCAGAGCAAGCAGUUGGACUGGCCAGGUCAGAAACCGUAAUUAAGCAGAAGCUUCAAGGCACAGGCAAGGGUUGUUUUCUGUUUUUUCCUAGAGCAGCUGGAUUUGGGAACAGUUGCCUGUGGCAAUAUGGGUGACAGCCUUAGUAGUGUGCAUGUGCUGUAAAAGAAACAGAAAAUUAGAAAUACAGGCAGACUUCCCUGUUCAUGGAUGUUAGAUGUGGUGACCAGGGAACUGUUGCAGGAGCAGCUGCCUUUCCCCUCUUCAUAGGAGGGCAGUUGCAUGUGUCUGGGGUUACAACACAGAGUGUGAUAAAAGGUAUCUAUUCUAUCACCAUCUGUUGAGG